rnacentral:lncRNA from 1 species
CAUCCUUUCCCUCUCCAGAGCUCCCUCUAUCUAGCCAGUCCAAAUAGCCUUGAACAAAAAGUUAUCAAACUCAUCCAUGCAGUUUAAAUUACCAUACCAGCAUUUUAAUUGUUGAGAUAAGUCCUAAUUACACUAUCUUGUCUUAAGAUUUUUGCAUACACGUAUUCUAGUCAUCUUGUCAAAGCCUUGGAUGCUCCUACAGUAGCAAGCGCCUUGCUGGAAGUGGAAGGACCC